GUCCUUUCUUAGUUCAUGAGUGUAGUGAUUGGGUUUUCACAUUCAUGUGUGAGAUGUGACGCCUUCAGUCCUCAAAUAUUGGCACAUUAUCACUCUGAUA